rfam:Schistosoma rodhaini strain Burundi genome assembly, scaffold: SROB_scaffold0012372
GUCCAACUGACUAGUCCCAAAUAUGACGAAAUGCGCGUCAAACUGGAU